rnacentral:rRNA from 1 species
CUUGGUCAUUUAGAGGAAGUAAAAGUCGUAACAAGGUUUCCGUAGGUGAACCUGCGGAAGGAUCAUUAACGAAUUUCGAUUCGGUCUUCUGUGCUGGUGGCAACACAUGUGCACGUCGAUCGUAAUUCCAUCCUCCUUUCAAUUGUCCAAGUGCGUUCGGUCGGCCUCUGGGUCGAAGAAGCGUGGCUGCCAGGCUCGUUUCGUUCUGAAUGCACAUUGGUUAUUUCACCCACUCUGGGUACUAGAAACAAAGAAAUAUUCAUAUAAACUAUACAACUUUCAACAACGGAUCUCUUGGCUCUCGCAUCGAUGAAGAACGCAGCGAAAUGCGAUAAGUAAUGUGAAUUGCAGAAUUCAGUGAAUCAUCGAAUCUUUGAACGCACCUUGCACCCUUUGGUAUUCCGAAGGGUACGCCCGUUUGAGUGUCAUUGUAAUCUCACCUCUACAACUUUGUUGUGUGAAGUGGACUUGGACAAUGUCGUGUAACAACGACUGGUCUUAAAAUUAUGAGUGUACCCUGCUGUUGCAGCGUCUUCAGUGUGAUAAUAUCUUCACUGAUCAAAGUUCCUUUGGGACACGCAAGCAUUGUGGGCCCUGCGCUUCCAAUCGUCUCUGGACAUACUUGACAAUUUGACCUCAAAUCGGGCGGGACUACCCGCUGAACUUAAGCAUAUCAAUAAGCGGAGGA